rnacentral:rRNA from 1 species
UACGGAGGGUGCAAGCGUUAUCCGGAUUCACUGGGUUUAAAGGGUGCGUAGGUGGGCUGGUAAGUCAGUGGUGAAAUCUCCAGGCUUAACUUGGAAACUGCCAUUGAUACUAUCAGUCUUGAAUACCGUGGAGGUCAGCGGAAUAUGUCAUGUAGCGGUGAAAUGCUUAGAUAUGACAUAGAACACCGAUUGCGAAGGCAGCUUACUACACGAUCAUUGACGCUGAGGCACGAAAGCGUGGGGAGCAAACAGG